rnacentral:rRNA from 1 species
CUAACUACGUGCCAGCAGCCGCGGUAAUACGUAGGGUGCGAGCGUUGUCCGGGAAUUAUUGGGCGUAAAGAGCUUGUAGGCGGUUUGUCGCGUCUGCUGUGAAAGACCGGGGCUUAACUCCGGUUCUGCAGUGGGUACGGGCAGACUAGAGUGUGGUAGGGGAGACUGGAAUUCCUGGUGUAGCGGUGAAAUGCGCAGAUACCAGGAGGAACACCGAUGGCGAAGGCAGGUCUCUGGGCCAUUACUGACGCUGAGAAGCGAAAGCAUGGGGAGCGAACAGGAUUAGAUACCCUGGUAGUCCAUGCCGUAAACGUUGGGCGCUAGGUGUGGGACUCAUUCCACGAGUUCCGUGCCGCAGCUAACGCAUUAAGCGCCCCGCCUGGGGAGUACGGCCGCAAGGCUAAAACUCAAAGGAAUUGACGGGGGCCCGCACAAGCGGCGGAGCAUGCGGAUUAAUUCGAUGCAACGCGAAGAACCUUACCAAGGCUUGACAUACACCGGAAUCAUGCAGAGAUGUGUGCGUCUUCGGACUGGUGUACAGGUGGUGCAUGGUUGUCGUCAGCUCGUGUCGUGAGAUGUUGGGUUAAGUCCCGCAACGAGCGCAACCCUCGUUCCAUGUUGCCAGCACGUAAAGGUGGGGACUCAUGGGAGACUGCCGGGGUCAACUCGGAGGAAGGUGGGGAUGACGUCAAAUCAUCAUGCCCCUUAUGUCUUGGGCUUCACGCAUGCUACAAUGGCCGGUACAGAGGGUUGCGAAACCGUGAGGUGGAGCUAAUCCCAAAAAACCGGUCUCAGUUCGGAUUGGGGUCUGCAACUCGACCCCAUGAAGUCGGAGUCGCUAGUAAUCGCAGAUCAGCAACGCUGCGGUGAAUACGUUCCCGGGCCUUGUACACACCGCCCGUCAAGUCACGAAAGUCGGUAACACCCGAAGCCGGUGGCCUAACCCUUGUGGGGGGAGCCGUCGAAG